CCUACGGGUGGCAGCAGUGGGGAAUAUUGGACAAUGGGCGAAAGCCUGAUCCAGCCAUGCCGCGUGGGUGAAGAAGGCCUUAGGGUUGUAAAUCCCUUUCAGCGGGGAAGCGGUACCCGCAGAAGAAGCCCCGGCUAACUCCGUGCCAGCAGCCGCGGUAAUACGGAGGGGGCUAGCGUUGUUCGGAAUUACUGGGCGUAAAGCGCGCGUAGGCGGACUUUCAAGUCAGGGGUGAAAUCCCGAGGCUUAACCUCGGAACUGCCUUUGAUACUGUUAGUCUUGAGUCCGGGAGAGGUGAGCGGAAUUCCUAGUGUAGAGGUGAAAUUCGUAGAUAUUAGGAAGAACACCAGUGGCGAAGGCGGCUCACUGGCCCGGACUGACGCUGAGGCGCGAAAGCGUGGGGAGAAACAGGAUUAGAUACCCUUGUAGUC
rnacentral:rRNA from 1 species